UGGAAAACCCAUUUGCAGAGAUGCCUCCUCAGCAUGGGAACCAGAGCGGGCUCGUUUUGCUGUCAAGCUCACAUUUUUGGCUUGGAAGGGCCAGCUUUCCUCAUGCUGGCGAGCGGCAGCCAGCUGCAGAACUGGCCAGGGAGGAUCUGAUGAAACACCGUGCUGAGAAGCUCCAGCUCAUCACAAUCGAAACUGCAAGAAAGCACAGGGCUCACUGAAUGCCUUAUCAAGAGAAUUCCUGUGGCAUGUAUGUACACGCAUAGGGCUGUGUGUGAUCCCGUGCUAGCUGGCAGCCCGCUGCUAAGAAGGUGCAUUUGACACAGUAGAGAUGUCUUUUCUUCUUGGGGGAAAGCUACAUUGGUUUGAGCUUUUUGCAUUUGCAAAAGUAGAGGUUGGUUUUGUUGUUGGUUUUGUUUUUUUUUUUUUUUUUUUCCACCCAGACGAGGUUUUACAGCUC
rnacentral:lncRNA from 1 species